rnacentral:rRNA from 1 species
AGCGAACGCUGGCGGCAGACCUAACACAUGCAAGUCGAACGAACUCUUCGGAGUUAGUGGCGGACGGGUGAGUAACCCGUUGGAACGUGCCUUUUGGUUCGGAAUAACUCAGGGAAACUUGUGCUAAUACCGAAUGUGCCCUUCGGGGGAAAGAUUUAUCGCCAUUAGAGCGGCCCGCGUCUGAUUUGCUAGUUGGUGAGGUAACGGCUCACCAAGGCGACGAUCAGUAGCUGGUCUGAGAGGAUGACCAGCCACACUGGGACUGAGACACGGCCCAGACUCCUACGGGAGGCAGCAGUGGGGAAUCUUGCGCAAUGGGGGAAAGCCUGACGCAGCCAUGCCGGGUGAAUGAUGAAGGUCUUAGGAUUGUAAAAUUCUUUCACCGGGGACGAUAAUGACGGUACCCGGAGAAGAAGCCCCGGCUAACUUCGUG